rnacentral:rRNA from 1 species
AUGUUCGCAACCGCCCGGUGCCACUUCUCGGUUCUCGCUCCCUUCCGGCCACAAUACGUCGCGCAGACGCGAUCACAGCCUCCCCGCACCACCGAUACCUUAGCGCCGCCUCGUCCUCGCCCUCGCCCUCGCCGCACCUCCGCGAGACGGGACCCCGCCAUGCCGAUCUCAUCCUCCCUCUCCGCGCGCCUCGGCCCCGGUCUCGCGGCCGCGCCCGCACGGUGGAGCCCUUACGCCCGUCCCUCCGAACCCCGCAGGGGCGGCGCUGGAAGCGGCUGCGCCAAGGCCUCCCGCCCGCCCCUCCGCCUCGAACCCGCGACGGCGAGACUCCUCGGCCCCGCGCGGAGGGCCGAAUCCCGCGGAUCGAGUCGCGGCGCCGCGUUCGGCGCCGCAGCCCCUACACCUGCACGACGGCUGUUUGGAGAUCUGAAGAAGUCGGACCAGAAGACGGAUCCCAAGCCGGCGGGCACGAAUCCAGAGCCAAUCCAGGAGUCGCGCGUCGAGGAGAGCCGUGGCUGCGGCGGUUUCGCUUUCCUCUGCGCCCUCGCUGGACACAAGGAGCUCUACUCUGUCAGUGCCGAUGGCUCUGUUCGCGUAUGGGACGGCAACUCUGGCAAGUGCGUUGAUGUCAUCAAGAUAGGAGGGAAGAUUGGUUGUAUGAUCACUCAUGACAAGUGGGUAUUUAUUGGAAUCCCAAAAUCCGUGGAGGCAUGGAACAUACAGACAGGGAUGAAGCUAAGUCUUCAGGGACCUUCUGGGCUUGUUUGUUCCAUGACUAUCAAGGAUGAGAUGCUGUUUGCUGGCACGGCGGAUGGCCGCAUCAUGGCUUGGAAAUUUCCUGCUAAGGAGAUCAACUUGGAACCGGUGGCAAUCCUCGCUGGCCACGACCGUCAUGUGAUUUCACUUGCUGGCUCAGCAAAUAGGCUUUACUCUGGUUCACUUGACAAGACAAUCAGAGUAUGGGACCUUAAAAAUCUUCAGUGUAAGUUACUAUCUUGCUCUCUGGAUAAGACCGUAAAGGUCUGGGCUGCUUCAGAAUCUGGAAACCUUCAACUCAUGCAUACCCAUUCCGAGGAGCAUGGAGUACGCACCCUCUUUGGCAUGCAUCGUCCGGGAAAGACGCCGGUUCUGCUCUGCUCCCUCCACAAGAGCAACUGCGUCCGCUUGUUGGGCCUGCCAUCGUUCGAGGAGAUUGGCACGCUCUCCUCCAAAACAGAAGUGAAGACCAUCGAACUCGCCCAAGGACCAUCGAGGCUUCUUUUCACUGGAGACGGCGCGGGCGAGCUCAAGGUGUGGAUGUGGGCGCCCCGGGACGAGGAUAAGGAGUCCCCCAACACCGGCGCUGUCAUAGACGUCAGCUAG